AAUAAAUAAGUACCGGUAAACUAUGGCAACUUUACCGGGCCCUUGGCAACUUUACCAUACUAUAGGUAUUCGGUAUAAACUCAUUUAUCUAAAAAUCUACCCACUAGAAUUCUGUUUUGUAAUAGAAGUAUUUUUUAGACAUUAAAAGGAAAUAUUUACUAUAUUUUGCGUAGACGUAAGACUGCUAUUAUGCCAGUAAUGGCCGUCACAAUGUAUGCGUGAAAAUGAGCUAAAAGUUAGUUGUUCCUAAAUUGUGCUUACAGAGCCUUAACUAUUUGUCACAGGUGAGUGAAAUUUUGAUCUUAAAUGUAUAUUAUAGUUGGGAUUACUGUUGUAAUGUCAGCAAUUGCUUUUUCUUUAAUUUAUUGAUAAAUAAUCGCUUCGGUAAUGUUGACACAGGUUAGUUAGGGUUGGCAAUAAAUGUUUUUUUCUUGUUUGUGUGUAUGUAACCAUUUUCGAAUACCUAAAUUUCACAGCAUAAUAGUGAAUAUCCUGGAUGAUAAGAUAUAAUGUAUUUAAUAAUACCUCUUGUUUUA